rnacentral:rRNA from 1 species
CCCUUAGAUGUUCUGGGCCGCACGCGCGCUACACUGAUGAAUGCAACGAGCUCUACCCUUGACCGAAAGGCCCGGGUAAACUUGUGAAACUUCAUCGUGAUGGGGAUAGAUUAUUGCAAUUAUUAAUCUUCAACGAGGAAUUCCUAGUAAGCGCGAGUCAUCAGCUCGCGUUGAUUACGUCCCUGCCCUUUGUACACACCGCCCGUCGCUCCUACCGAUUGAAUGGUCCGGUGAAAUCUUCGGAUUGCUGACCAAGAUCCAGCAAUGGAGCUUGGUUGCGAGAAGUCGAUUAAACCUUAUUAUUUAGAGGAAGGAGAAGUCGUAACA